rnacentral:rRNA from 1 species
GUGACUGCGUACCUUUUGUAUAAUGGGUCAGCGACUUAUAUUCUGUAGCAAGGUUAACCGAAUAGGGGAGCCGAAGGGAAACCGAGUCUUAACUGGGCGUUAAGUUGCAGGGUAUAGACCCGAAACCCGGUGAUCUAGCCAUGGGCAGGUUGAAGGUUGGGUAACACUAACUGGAGGACCGAACCGACUAAUGUUGAAAAAUUAGCGGAUGACUUGUGGCUGGGGGUGAAAGGCCAAUCAAACCGGGAGAUAGCUGGUUCUCCCCGAAAGCUAUUUAGGUAGCGCCUCGUGAAUUCAUCUCCGGGGGUAGAGCACUGUUUCGGCAAGGGGGUCAUCCCGACUUACCAACCCGAUGCAAACUGCGAAUACCGGAGAAUGUUAUCACGGGAGACACACGGCGGGUGCUAACGUCCGUCGUGAAGAGGGAAACAACCCAGACCGCCAGCUAAGGUCCCAAAGUCAUGGUUAAGUGGGAAACGAUGUGGGAAGGCCCAGACAGCCAGGAUGUUGGCUUAGAAGCAGCCAUCAUUUAAAGAAAGCGUAAUAGCUCACUGGUCGAGUCGGCCUGCGCGGAAGAUGUAACGGGGCUAAACCAUGCACCGAAGCUGCGGCAGCGACGCUUAUGCGUUGUUGGGUAGGGGAGCGUUCUGUAAGCCUGUGAAGGUGUGCUGUGAGGCAUGCUGGAGGUAUCAGAAGUGCGAAUGCUGACAUAAGUAACGAUAAAGCGGGUGAAAAGCCCGCUCGCCGGAAGACCAAGGGUUCCUGUCCAACGUUAAUCGGGGCAGGGUGAGUCGACCCCUAAGGCGAGGCCGAAAGGCGUAGUCGAUGGGAAACAGGUUAAUAUUCCUGUACUUGGUGUUACUGCGAAGGGGGGACGGAGAAGGCUAUGUUGGCCGGGCGACGGUUGUCCCGGUUUAAGCGUGUAGGCUGGUUUUCCAGGCAAAUCCGGAAAAUCAAGGCUGAGGCGUGAUGACGAGGCACUACGGUGCUGAAGCAACAAAUGCCCUGCUUCCAGGAAAAGCCUCUAAGCAUCAGGUAACAUCAAAUCGUACCCCAAACCGACACAGGUGGUCAGGUAGAGAAUACCAAGGCGCUUGAGAGAACUCGGGUGAAGGAACUAGGCAAAAUGGUGCCGUAACUUCGGGAGAAGGCACGCUGAUAUGUAGGUGAAGUCCCUCGCGGAUGGAGUUGAAAUCAGUCGAAGAUACCAGCUGGCUGCAACUGUUUAUUAAAAACACAGCACUGUGCAAACACGAAAGUGGACGUAUACGGUGUGACGCCUGCCCGGUGCCGGAAGGUUAAUUGAUGGGGUCAGCGCAAGCGAAGCUCUUGAUCGAAGCCCCGGUAAACGGCGGCCGUAACUAUAACGGUCCUAAGGUAGCGAAAUUCCUUGUCGGGUAAGUUCCGACCUGCACGAAUGGCGUAAUGAUGGCCAGGCUGUCUCCACCCGAGACUCAGUGAAAUUGAACUCGCUGUGAAGAUGCAGUGUACCCGCGGCAAGACGGAAAGACCCCGUGAACCUUUACUAUAGCUUGACACUGAACAUUGAGCCUUGAUGUGUAGGAUAGGUGGGAGGCUU